AUUGAACGCUGGCGGCAUGCCUUACACAUGCAAGUCGAACGGCAGCACGGGGCAACCUGGUGGCGAGUGGCGAACGGGUGAGUAAUGCAUCGGAACGUACCUUUCAGUGGGGGAUAACGUAGCGAAAGAUACGCUAAAACCGCAUAUUCUGUGAGCAGGAAAGCAGGGGAUCGCAAGACAUUGCGCUGAGUGAGCGGGUGAUGUCUGAUUAGCUCGUUGGUGAGGUAAAGGCUCACCAAGGCGACGCGCUGUAGCAGGUCUGAGAGGAUGUACCGCCACACGGUACCUGCGACACGCUCCGGACUCCUACGGGAGGCAGCAGUGGGGAAUUUUGGACAAUGGGGGCAACCCUGAUCCAGCCAUGCCGCGUGAGUGAAGAAGGCCUUCGGGUUGUAAAGCUCUUUCGGCCGGGAAGAAAUCGCACGGGCUAAUACCCUGUGUGGAUGACGGUACCGGAAUAAGAAGCACCGGCUAACUACGUGCCAGCCGCCGCAGUAACAC
rnacentral:rRNA from 1 species